rnacentral:rRNA from 1 species
CAGUAGCCGCGGUAACACGGAGGGAGCUAGCGUUGUUCGGAAUUACUGGGCGUAAAGCGCGCGUAGGCGGUUACUCAAGUCAGAGGUGAAAGCCCGGGGCUCAACCCCGGAACUGCCUUUGAAACUAGGUGACUAGAAUCUUGGAGAGGUCAGUGGAAUUCCGAGUGUAGAGGUGAAAUUCGUAGAUAUUCGGAAGAACACCAGUGGCGAAGGCGACUGACUGGACAAGUAUUGACGCUGAGGUGCGAAAGCGUGGGGAGCAAACAGGAUUAGAGACCCCGGUAGUCCCUGUCUCUUAUAC